AGUGAGAGACCACCUUUUGAAAACCCCCAUUUAUCAAGCCACAUUUCAGUCUGGAAAUCUAAUUUGUUCAGUAAUAAAAUUAACUGGGAUCAUAACAAUUGAAAUGUCUGAAAGACUUUUACACUCCAUUCGUUAUUCUGAUCUGGAAUUGCUGUCAAUGCCAUCACCGACUAUCCUUCAAUGUGAGGGUGAUAUCUACUCCAGGUCAUGGCUUUCUCCAUGGGCCUUCAUGUGAUUGACCAGGCUGAUCCCCAACCCACAGAUCUUUUGGCAGUCUCUUCCAGCUGUGCAAUUCUUGAAAGUUCAACGUUCUGCCGAUUCUGGUCUCUCGCCCCUUUGCUAUAUUGCAGCUGUCCCCCCAACAGUCUAAGCCAUAACCACUG